UCACGGCUCGGUGCGCGGCGCCCCGGCUGUGCGCUGCGGCAUCAGGGGCACUGGGGAAACGCCCGCGGAGCGGCGUCUGCUCUGCCCGUGUAAAUGAGUGCGAAAAGACGUGGAAGUGCUGGAGCGCGUCCACAGAAGGGCGGCAAAACGGAAGGGUCUGGAACACAAGUCUUACGGCAGCGGCUGAGGGAGCUGUGAUCGUUCAGUGUGGAGAAGGGGAGGUUCAGGGGAGACCUCGUUGCUCUCUGCAACUGCCCGAAGGAAGGUUGUGAUGGGCUGGGGACGGCCUCUUCUCCCAGCCUGAUUUCCACACCAGGCGGAUCGUGCAUGGCUGGCAGCGCUGCAUUCCUGCCCAUCCUACACAACCCAUCAUCACAUGGAUGCAUUCAGCACAGAGUUGCUCAUGGCUCCAUCUUCUCUCCAGAGUGUUUUGUCUGCCCCCGAGUCCAUGCAGCCACCAUCCUGCCUCGCCUGCGGGUCACUGCGUGGAAAGCUCCAGAGAGUGUUGGCAAUGCUGUUGUUGACGUGGCUGCCAUGGGGGUGGGGAGACUCAGACACCCCUAAUAAAGCCUGAGGCAAGUGAGAGGCACUUCUUUUUGGCAAAUGAGCAGUUUUCAGUUUAAAAAUGUUUUUCUCUUGGCAGCCAGUGGAAGCAUCUGAGCUACGGCUGUCAGAUCAAAUGUGUGCUUUCCCUUUGACCUCCCAAGGAACAUAGGGAUGUGGUUUUAUGCCAUCUAGGAGCAAUCUGAUGUGUUUGCUUUUCAUUCUGAAGGUGUUUAGGAGUUUGACAUUUAGCCCUUGUGGGUUAUUUAUUUAUGCCUUUUACACUAUAUCUUAUGUUUCCUAGAAAACCACUUGCCCAGCCUGCAUGUCGUAUAUUUUUGAUGUGGAAAGAUGUGGGAUUGGGGUGAUAAAUGAGGAAAGAGAAUUGGCAACAAGACUAGAAAAUCACUGGCCAACUAGGUAACUUCAAUCCUAUCCAGCAGUCUGAACCUGAAUUUCAGCAUGCUCCGUUACCUGUAGCUUACCUUGGCUUUGUCAUACAGAAUUUACAAGGAGCCGUAAGUGGCUCCUUUAUCCUAGAGUCCAGCAAGAAGCUGUGUUGCACUUAUGAAAGGGCAUGAAUGAUUAUUUUAAACCUCCCAUGUUGGAUGAGUACUUUCUAUGGGUGUUGUGGUUUAAUUAACCAUUUUGAAUAUAACCCAAUGAUCAAUUUAAAUUACUGUUAAAAAAAAUCAGAUACUUAGAAACUGAAUUGAAAUUAAGCACUACAGAGUGAGCUUGUGCAGCUGACAAAGCCACCUGUCCAUGCUGUGAUAAGUGUUUUUCCCGAUGGAAGCAUUAGAAAUACAUUUGUUUGCUUUUUCAUGCCCAAGCUGAUCUUACUCGUUACACAGUGACUAAAUUGCUGCAUUUCCAGGAUAAAUUCCAGAGGCAAACAGAUGGUGGUGUGAACAGAGCAUUUUGUUUGACAUACUAAUGUGGUAUGAAUCUCAGCAGGGACUUUCCUCCUCCUCAGAAAGGUAACAGCAUUUCUGCACCUCAAAUAUUUUGAUAACAGUCAUAUGAAUGAAGUCAUAUGAACUUUUCUUUAAGCCUACCUGCAUUUUCUGAUUUUUGAACUGUUGAAUAGUUUCAUCCACACAAAGCAGACAAAAUAGAGCGAAGCUAUCAGUAAAUGUAAUAUUGCAGGAAUAAUUAACUGUGAUGCCAAUAUUUGAUCAACUCCCAGUGCAUGUGUUCAUAUUCAAGCAAGUGAAUAGUUUCUGAAUAGGGAAAUGCAGGUGGAGAGUGCAGGCAGUAUGUUCCUCAUACAGUACAGGCUGUACUGCAUCCAGUUUGACUCCCUGCACCCAGGACAACCCUCCAGUAUGUCUUGGCAAGCCUUGAGUUCUCACAUCCCACUGCCACCUCCUGUCAAAUGACUCUCCUCACAUCAUAGUACAAAAUACACCACUGGUGUGCUGUUAAGCAAUCACCUCACUGUUAGUAAUUGAUUUUUUUUCCCUUGAGUCAUCACAGAACUAAGGGUGCACUUUAGGGACCUGUGGAGCUCAAGGCCUUGUGUCUCAUUUAAAGAGAUGUCAUAAGAGUCAUGGCUUUGCCACAUAGAUAGCUCUGAUAGUCUUUGGCAGGACAGCAAGAAUUGAGCAAUACUAUUUUUUUUAUUAUUAUUAUUAGGAAAAAAAAAAAAAGCCUCUGUGAAAGCCUGUUUUGGUGCUGCAGAAUGCAAGUAUCUCAGUUCUAUCAGAGUGAUGCAGGGCUGCAGGAUAGAUCCCUGUUUAAUGUCCAGACACACAGUGUGUAAGUAGUGAUGAUUUUGUCAGUGGCAGGGAACCCCAGCAGUGAGACUGCCCUCAUGAUGAGAAAAGCUUGCCUAAAGAGUUUGUUAGGUGUGGCAGCCCCUGGACUUUGCCAAAGCUACUCAACCCUGGAGGCUUUCAUGCAGGUAACACAGGAGCUGGUCGGUGGGACUGGGAGGAGCAGUGAUUAUGUGGGGAUUGUACAGGGACCGGGAAAGGCAUUUGUCUUUGGUUCUCCGGUUGUUUCAGUGCCUCAGGCAGAGGCAGGAGAUGGCACAGAGCACACAGUGUGCAACUUGUCCUGACCGCCUGCAUGGCAGCAGGGUGUUGGCAUCUGGCUGCUCCCUGGACUCCUCCCUGCGGCUCGCUUUGGUCCUGCAACCCAGACUGCAGAGCACACACCUCAUUCCUGAAGCUCAGCAUGGCAGUGUGUGCCUCAGCUCUGCGUCUCAUUGUUGGAGAUGUACACUUUGGUCUCAAGGCUCACUGCUGUCAAGAUUCAAGUUCCUCUGUCCCACAGCAUCCUCGGAGGCACGCUGCACCUCAGUACCACCAAGACUUACUCUGCAGGAGCUGCAGCAGCAAGGAGGGGGCUGUGCGAGCCAUAGCAAAGUGCAGAGUGAUGCCCUGACACCAGGGAGGUUCUUUUGGAAGAAGAGAGCACUGGUUUGUACCUAAUAGGUGAAACAUGCAUUACUGGUGGCAUCUUCUCUGCAGACUGAUCCUGAGUAGCCAGUUAUGAAGCAGUUAAAGGAUAGGAAAGACAACAGAAUUGUUAGGAAGAGGGAGGCAAUAUAGUAUAAAAGGUACUGGAAGAUAAUUUGGGUUUCUUUAAACUGUUCAGUCAGUAUUACUUCAGGAGUUUCCUUCUUUAUGGAGAAGGCUGUUCUCUUUACUGAGGCUGCAGCAAGUAGUGAGAGGUGUAGCUUGGAAUGGAAUGGAAAUGCCAAUAGAUUUGCUGUAUUCUGUGUGCUUACUUUGCUCUGGGAUCUGUUAUGUCUUCAGCACAAGUACACGGUAUGUAAAUGUAAGUAGUUCAGUACUGAAUGUAGUGGUGAUGUAUGUAGCAGUGCUCUGUAAAUGUUUGCCUGUAAGUCGGUGUGUUUUGAUGUGCUGAAGCAGGGAGAACUGCUUCAAACACAGCUGAGAAGUAUUUGAGUUAGGCAGCUAGUUGGUAGUUUGAGUCCUGUUCAACUUGUGAUUGAAUGGAGGAAAAGGUCAGCUGAGCUUUUAAAUGUAACUAUUAAUGUUAUGUUACAACGGGACUUAUAUAAAAAUGUUCUGUCUGAA